ensembl:snRNA U6 U6 spliceosomal RNA
AUGCUCACUUUGGUAGCACAUAUACUAAACUGGAAUGAUGCACAGAGGAUUAGGCAUGGUCCCCGCACAAGGAUGACACGAAAAUUUGUGAAGUAUUCCAUGUUAAG